rnacentral:tRNA from 1 species
GCGCCUGUAGCUCAGGUGGAUAGAGCAAUGGACUUCUAAUCCAUGAGUCGGGGGUUCGAAUCCUCCCAGGCGCGCCA